rnacentral:rRNA from 1 species
GCCUGAGAGGGCGACCGGCCACACUGGGACUGAGACACGGCCCAGACUCCUGCGGGAGGCAGCAGUGGGGAAUAUUGCGCAAUGGGCGAAAGCCUGACGCAGCGACGCCGCGUGGGGGAUGACGGCCUUCGGGUUGUAAACCUCUUUUACCACCAACGCAGGCUCCGGGUUCUCUCGGGGUUGACGGUAGGUGGGGAAUAAGGACCGGCUAACUACGUGCCAGCAGCCGCGGUAAUACGUAGGGUCCGAGCGUUGUCCGGAAUUAUUGGGCGUAAAGAGCUCGUAGGCGGCGUGUCGCGUCUGCUGUGAAAGACCGGGGCUUAACUCCGGUUCUGCAGUGGAUACGGGCAUGCUAGAGGUAGGUAGGGGAGACUGGAAUUCCUGGUGUAGCGGUGAAAUGCGCAGAUAUCAGGAGGAACACCGGUGGCGAAGGCGGGUCUCUGGGCCUCACCUGACGCUGAGGAGCGAAAGCAUGGGGAGCGAACA